CUAAGAUAGUAUGAGAAAGUUCUGAUCUUGACAGUUCACGUAACAUUCAAUCAAUUAUACCAUUGCUCUAUCUCUAACAUUUUCUUUUUCUCCUUUUCUCAGUGUCUUACCAAGAAUGAAAGACAACCUAUGUAAAAACUAUGGGCUUUCUAGUAUAAAUAAAAACUAGUCAUCUCCAGAAAAUAAACAUUGACUGCUAAGAUGAUUGAAAAAAGAAAGGAGAAGAAAGUAGCUUAUAAAAGUGUGUGAAAUUCACUCACGUUGGAAUCUCCUACAGGCACUUCAGGUCUUGAGACUGUAAACAUUUGAAGUGUGAUUGCUGUGAAUGAAGAAAACGCACAGCCAUCAUGACAAGCCUAAACUCAAAGGGGACUGAUUUCUUCUACUCACUGAAAGUUUCAUUAGUGACAGGGCCCAGAUAAUAAAGAAUUGUGAUCACUUCCUGUGA
rnacentral:lncRNA from 1 species